rnacentral:antisense_RNA from 1 species
CACCAAACACAUUUUGAAGUUUACAUCGAUCAGCUUUUAUUAACAUUGGU